rnacentral:tRNA from 1 species
CGGGUGUAGUUCAAUGGUAGAACUCCAGCCUUCCAAGCUGGUAGUGUGAGUUCGAUUCUCAUCACCC